GGUACACAAGGAUUUCUGUAUGCGGAGGUUAGCUUCAGCAGAACAAUUAUAUUGAUGACGACGAUGAUGAGCUGGAGAAGAGAUGCACAGCUCCGUUUUGAUGACUCCAUCACCAGGGAGCUCUUGGUUGCACUGCAAUCAGGGAGGCCUUGUCAACUCGCUGAUGCCACUUAACCUCUAUGGUCUCUCAUUGCUCAAGAUGGAUAGUUUUGUGCAGGUUUGGCCUCAACCACUUCUUCCUGUCCUACUGCUACAUUUGGACCAUGACACUCAGUUUUAGCAAAACUAUUGUAAAGUUGCAGGCCAUACCUGUGAAAUCCGAGGCUUGUCACAGGAUGGUGUUCAUGGUCUACUAUUAAAGGAGGAUCGAACGUCGUGAUGGUUCGACCUCCUUCGAUCCCCUCCUCCCUUCGAACGAAAAGCAUCGCACGAGGGCCACACGCCCGCAGCAGCCCAAAAAUCGCCAGCUCAGCCCACGUACGAGAUACACAUCGGCCCUUUCCUCCCCUCGUACGAUAGCACGCACUAAAAAAUCUGCCGAAAACCUCGCGCACCGCACCGACGCAAAAACAGGGUAGAACCCACGUCCUCCACCUUCUCCCGACCGGAUCUCCAUCUCCAGAACCAGACCUCUCUCCCAAUCCCGAACUACAUGUUGGCACCCCUCCCUGGCUCCCUCCCAUGAGUCCACGACCACCCAACGGCGGCCCAUCUCUCCCGCAGCAACCACCGCACCGGCCACCCACCCAUCUCCUCCUCCUCUCACUCACGCCGGCAAAGGGGGGCCAGCCGCCGCGACACCAGAAUGUUGUGUAUGAGCAGGCACAGCACUGCCGCCUCCCUAGGUCACGACAUGUAGCGGUUCGGCUACCCUGACACAGCCGCCGGCUGGCCCAGCGAGGAAGACGCUUUGAAUCUGGGACCUGCAGUAUUAGAUAGAGGAAAGUUACAUCUACAGUUGGUCCGCGAGCAUGGCGAGCCGACAACGACGAUGAAAUAAUGCAUUGGCCCAUUGCCUGAUGAAGAAGAUGAGAGAAGUGAAGAUUAUGUACGAUGAAAUAUUACAGAUCAGGCUUGGCACCUUAGCAUAUAUCCAAGGUCCAAACUCGGAUGGUACACAAGGAUUUCUGUAUGCGGAGGUUAGCUUCAGCAGAACAAUUAUAUUGAUGACGACGAUGAUGAGCUGGAGAAGAGAUGCACAGCUCCGUUUUGAUGACUCCAUCACCAGGGAGCUCUUGGUUGCACUGCAAUCAGGGAGGCCUUGUCAACUCGCUAAUGCCACUUAACCUCUAUGGUCUCUCAUUGCUCAAGAUGGAUAGUUUUGUGCAGGUUUGGCCUCAACCACUUCUUCCUGUGCUACUGCUACAUUUGGACCAUGACACUCAGUUCUAGCAAAACUAUUGUAAAGUUGCAGGCCAGACCUGUGAAAUCCGAGGCUUGUCACAGGAUGGUGUUCAUGGUCUAUAAGCUUUUGAGAUGUUGUCUUGGCUCCUCCUUUACAAACAACAUUUAUGAUGAUAUGCCUCUAAGGGUUGUAGUUAAGAGUUGAUGAGUGUUGUUUUCCAUGCUAUUCUUUGUCCCUUAUGCUGGUAGUUGAGAGGAGGGAGAAGGAGAGAGAGAUGGAGGGACAUCAAAGAGGAGUGUGGUAACCACAUAGGAAGACACGGUUAUGUUGCAGCCAGUAGAGACGUGGUUUUGUGUGCAAGUCGAUGCAAACCUGCCGUUGUGAUGGUUGGGGAGCCGAGGUAGCAGCAAGCAGUGCCUUUACGCUGGAUCAUGCAGUCUGGUUGUGGGUGGUCAGAGCUCAUGGACCUGUCUUCCCCUUGGGUGUGGGCGAGUCACACACAACACCGGGUGUUUACUUUCCUUCAGUGAACUGAAAGCAAAAAAAGAAAAACAUGAGGAAUGUUUGUUUGUCCAUGUUGCGCGAUCCUGAUCAUGUUAGUUUGUGAAGAAAAACAAAGCACCAUGUCACUGUAAUGCUUUAAAUAUUUUAUAUCUUUUAGUUUUUUAUUUUAGAACAAACCUUAAUUCAGCAGGGUGUUUCAAGGUGAGACAUCCUUGAUGAUCGUUGUUUUCUUUAGAUCAUUAUCACCCUAUUUUAAGUGAAUACAUCAGAGUUGUGUUUAACUAUGCUUUAUUUUUUCUUUAUGUGACCUAUAUUUUGUUUUGCUUGAAUUUCUAUCAAGGGACGGAGUUUGGUUUCAUGCAUCUUGAAACAAAGCUUCCAGUCGGGCGGCGUCCCACUUCACAUUUUGCUAAGGUGCUUCCAUGGUUUCUCCAGUCUCUCAAGCGCAGCAUAGCCUGCUUGCAUGACUUUUUUCUUGCUGCUCGCGCUGCCCCUAUGUACAACAACACUGUUCUGAUGAUCUCUCCUGCUGACACUGAUCUCCCAUCUCCUCAUCUUAUGCGCCAUCUCUGUGUUGGUUGAUCAGUGGCACUAGACGUUGAUGCUCACGCCGUUGUCAGAAACGCACUGAGCUACUCAACCUGUGAGUAUUACUUUGCUCCUCCAUUGAUGGUAUUAGAGUUUUCAAUUAAACUGGUCGAAUUAGAUGCCUUGCAAAUUUGUUGCUUCCAUGAGAUCUAGGUACAUAGGUGGAAAUUGUAGUGUUACUUAUCUUUUGUCGAUCAUGAAAACCCAUAGUAGUCAAUGUUUCUGUGUUUUGUAUGCAUCUAUUUGGUAAUUUUCUACAGAUUGGUACCAUCUUUCUAUGGACUGGCACGUA